rnacentral:rRNA from 1 species
AACGAACGCUGGCGGCAUGCCUAACACAUGCAAGUCGAACGAGAUCUUCGGGUCUAGUGGCGCACGGGUGCGUAACGCGUGGGAAUCUUCCCUUUGGUUCGGAAUAACAGUUUGAAACGACUGCUAAUACCGGAUGAUGACUAAAGUCCAACGAUUUGUCGCCAGAGGAUGAGCCCGCGUAGGAUGAGCUAGUUGGUGUGGUAAAGGCGCACCAAGGUGACGAUCCUUAGCUGGUCUGAGAGGAUGAUCAGCCACACUGGGACUGAGACACGGCCCAGACUCCUACGGGAGGCAGCAGUGGGGAAUAUUGGACAAUGGGCGAAAGCCUGAUCCAGCAAUGCCGCGUGAGUGAUGAAGGCCUUAGGGUUGUAAAGCUCUUUUACCCGGGAUGAUAAUGACAGUACCGGGAGAAUAAGCUCCGGCUAACUCCGUGCCAGCCGCCGCCGUAA